rnacentral:rRNA from 1 species
CCUAUGGGGGGCACCAGGCGCGAAACCUCCACAAUGUGAGAAAUCGCGAUGGGGGGAUCCCAAGUGCCAUUCUUAACGGGAUGGCUUUUCUUAAGUGUAAAGAGCUUUUGGAAUAAGAGCUGGGCAAGACCGGUGCCAGCCGCCGCGGUAACACCGGCAGCUCUAGUGGUAGCUGUUUUUAUUGGGCCUAAAGCGUUCGUAGCCGGUUUAAUAAGUCUCUGGUGAAAUCUUACAGCUUAACUGUGGGAAUUGCUGGAGAUACUAUUAGGCUUGAGAUCGGGAGAGGUUAGAGGUACUCCUGGGGUAGGGGUGAAAUCCUGUAAUCCUAGGAGGACCACCUGUGGCGAAGGCGUCUAACUAGAACGAAUCUGACGGUGAGGAACGAAAGCUAGGGGCGCGAACCGGAUUAGAUACCCGCGUAGUCC